rnacentral:rRNA from 1 species
GAAUCGCUAGUAAUCGUGGAUCACAAUGCCACGGUGAAUACGAUUCCCGGGGCCUUGUACACACCGCCCGUCACACCAUGGGAGUGGACUGCACCAGAAGUGGUUAGCCUAACGCAAGAGGGCGAUCACCACGGUGUGGUUCAUGACUGGGGUGAAGUCGUAACAAGGUAGCCGUAGGGGAACCUGCGGCUGGAUCACCUCCUU